AUGCUGCUAGUUUCCUCUGACUUGGCGGCGCGCAGGUCUGUAAGAUGCUGCAGACGUGGAGAAUCACUAGCAGCGUUUGAUGGAAAGUUGUGCGCGGUGACUGCCUUUGGCAAGCUCUUCAUCCUUCAGUUUCGAAACAACCUUGGUAGAAAACCAAAGAUCAAAUGCGUAAUUGAGUCUUUGGGUGAUUGUCGUGGAGGACCAGAAUGCAUUUCUAGAGAGGAAACGUGUACAUUCAGGUUAUAUCUAGUUGAAUGUGGUGGUAGACUGUUGAUGGUUGAACGAUUUAUUCGCUUCAUCCCUCCCACUGGUGACAAUAUCUUUGACAAUACUCAAACUGCUGGGGUUGUUGUCCUUGAGGCAGACCUGCACUCCAACCCUUACCGAUGGAAAAGGAUCACCGAGUUGGGUGGACAUGCUCUCUUUGUUGGCCAGCUUGGCUCCAAGUCUCUGCCUGCUAGAGAAUGCAGCGGAUCCCAGGAGGAUUGCAUCUACUUCAUUUGUGACUAUCCCCAUCCAAAGUAUUUUUCGAGUCCAUUUCGCGACUGUGGUGUGUACAACAUACGGAAUGGUAUGAUCAUGCCAUUGAUGUCUCAGACUGCAGCACCUGCACAUGAUGCUGACCAGUGGCGCCCGACAUGGUUUUUUCCUGCCAAACCUAUGUGA
rnacentral:rRNA from 1 species